rnacentral:rRNA from 1 species
UAGGGAAUCUUCGGCAAUGGACGAAAGUCUGACCGAGCAACGCCGCGUGAGUGAAGAAGGUUUUCGGAUCGUAAAACUCUGUUGGUAGAGAAGAACGUUGGUGAGAGUGGAAAGCUCAUCAAGUGACGGUAACUACCCAGAAAGGGACGGCUAACUACGUGCCAGCAGCCGCGGUAAUACGUAGGUCCCGAGCGUUGUCCGGAUUUAUUGGGCGUAAAGCGAGCGCAGGUGGUUUAUUAAGUCUGGUGUAAAAGGCAGUGGCUCAACCAUUGUAUGCAUUGGAAACUGGUAGACUUGAGUGCAGGAGAGGAGAGUGGAAUUCCAUGUGUAGCGGUGAAAUGCGUAGAUAUAUGGAGGAACACCGGUGGCGAAAGCGGCUCUCUGGCCUGUAACUGACACUGAGGCUCGAAAGCGUGGGGAGCAAACAGGAUUAGAUAGCCCUGGUAGUCCACGCCGUAAACGAUGAGUG